GACGAACGCUGGCGGCGUGCCUAAUACAUGCAAGUAGAACGCUGAAGGAGGAGCUUGCUCUUCUGGAUGAGUUGCGAACGGGUGAGUAACGCGUAGGUAACCUGCCUGGUAGCGGGGGAUAACUAUUGGAAACGAUAGCUAAUACCGCAUAAAAUUGAUUAUUGCAUGAUAGUCAAUUAAAAGGUGCAAUUGCAUCACUACCAGAUGGACCUGCGGUGUAUUAGCUAGUUGGUGAGGUAACGGCUCACCAAGGCAACGAUACAUAGCCGACCUGAGAGGGUGAUCGGCCACACUGGGACUGAGACACGGCCCAGACUCCUACGGGAGGCAGCAGUAGGGAAUCUUCGGCAAUGGACGGAAGUCUGACCGAGCAACGCCGCGUGAGUGAAGAAGGUUUUCGGAUCGUAAAGCUCGGUUGUAAGAGAAGAACGAGUGUGAGAGUGGAAAGUUCACACUGUGACGGUAUCUUACCAGAAAGGGACGGCUAACUACGUG
rnacentral:rRNA from 1 species